CACAUCCUAUCGGGCCAGUCGCGGGAGCGAUCGGCGCUCCAGCGGCAAAAAUCGGCCGAUCCUCCCCGUCAGAAGCCGAUGUCAUGCCGAGCGGCGAGUGGUGUGCGAAGAGAACCGGGAGAGAGAACGACGAGGAGGAGAGACUGGAGAGACUGCGCGGUGGCGGUGAUGUCCCCGCACUUAGUUUUUCUUUUUGUAUUGGCUGCGUUGCGCAUGCGCAGCGGUUACUUCGAGCACGCUUCUCCCAACGAAGUUUCUCGUUUCCCGGCUGCCGGUACGAACUUCGUUGUUUGCCAAGUUACGACUUCGUCGUGUUCACAGGUAAGAAGCCGCUAAAGUGUGCUUCUGUGGUUAACUGUAACGUGUUGUGUUAGUAGAAGACUUCUUGCGGCGUUUGACAGAGUACAUGCAGCGCCGUACAUUCAAAUUGUCAUGCCCUCGCUAUCGUGCAACCGUCGCCGAUUUCCGAAGACAAAGUAAACGCAAAACGCUUAUUUGCAGAAGUGUGCAUAGUUGCAAGUGGUGCAAGUGUGUUUGGUUGGUUUGCUCCGCUGUCACGGUUGUGUAAGCGUUCGGGGAUUAGAAUCGGUCUCUUAAAUUAGAUUGCUGUCUGUCUGAUGUAUCAGUGCGUCCGCUCUUGUGGGAAGGCACUUUGCUGUCGGCUCGCGCGGCGCGUGUCUCCUAUGCGUCGCCAGUCGUGCUUCUAUUUUCCAAUUCGCAGGUGCACCGGUGAUGUGACCGAAUUAAGCAACGUCGCACUGCAAGAGGUACAGGAACGUACAAAAGGAGGUCAGGGAGUUGUUGCAACAAAUUGAAGAUGGCCAGGGCAUUUUUUUAAUCUCAUUUCCAGCAUUCGUGAAGAAAGUGGUGUAUACUAUAAAUUAUAUAUAUUAUAUAUGGAAUAUACUAUAAACACUCAUAUAUCUAAGUAUAUAAAUAAGGUGCCUUAGACCCGGUCCUCUUUAAUUUUACAGUGUAAUAAAUGUGUUGCUAAGGGCUAAACGACACUCGUUGAACACCCAGUAUGUGGUCUCCUUCCUCUCCCGCAGGUUGACUUUCUGGCAUGCAUUGGACGAGCACCACUACCUUCUUCAGUUAUCCCAUCAUGAAAUGCUUGUUGACCAAUGACCUUGCCUUAAAAUACAGCCUCAGGGGUCUGCAGAAGAAAAAGGUUUUCCAGGAAAUCUCCCUACGUGGAUGUGUUGUGGAGGCAGCGAAACGGUGGUGCAGCUCUGCUACCGAAGGCGAAAUUGGACGACGCAUAGGAAAGUUAGCUGCCCGGAAUGGCGCAAGGGGACGGACGAUUGAUAGUCAGAUACCAAGUACACAAAUCUUGGAGGAGCACUGUCAAGCAUGCGUGCUGUUUUGUAAUAUUUUGUACCUGCAAUACGUUGACCUUUAUGUCUGUGAUGCUUUAAAACAUAGUAUUAAACAGUGAUACUGA